AUCAUGUCAGCUUUUUGUUAACUUUUUCUUUUAUUGCAGUAUCUUCUCCCUGGUGACUUGGGCUAAAUUGGGAGUAGUGAAAUGACUGAAAUGUGACUUAUAGCCACUAUGUGUACUCCAAGUGAUUCCUCCUUCCUAUUAGUCAUAACAGAACGCUUCAUCCUUGAACCAGGCUGCUCUGCCUAGUUUCCUGAUCUUCAUGCAAAAACUCCAAGAACCCAGCCUUGCCAACCUCCUACAGGAGUCUAAAGCCACCAUGUAGUCAGAAAACUGAGAUCUGUGCUACACUUGAAUCUAAACUCAUCAGAAUUAGCUUAUACAAGUUCCCUUUUCUCCCUCUAGUAUAUACUUCCACUCCUUUGCCAGGGAUCCAUCCCAGCCUUGACUUCCCUUUCUUCUUCAGCUCCAAUGAGAACUGGAAGUGAGAAAAAAAUGUAAGGAAGACAGGAGGAAAAAGGAGAAAGAGAGGAGAGAUUAGUCUCAAUCCCAAAGAUAGACGCAAAUUGGGACUUUUAGCUCUGACCUUCCAGCUGAGACAAGAUUUCUAAGGGGAGAAGAAUGAACACAUGCAAAGAAUGGGGCGCUCACAUGCUACUCAAAUGAGGCACACAGGUCUCACGAACCUUCUGAGAAGAACAACGAGUGAUAAGUUUGAUCAUUGAGUCAAUAAAUGUGCCGGCUAUAAUGCCAGACGCAGUGAUAAGCCAUCACUUACCUUCAAUGCUUAUCAGUUACCACUCAAAUGCCUUUUCUCUUUGAUAGGAGAAAAGACCAAGGGUCAUUUCCUUAAUACUUCAUUCUGUGUCCAUCUAAGAAGCCCCGGAUCUAGGUGACUUUAGAAAAGUCACUUAGAAUUAUAUGAAAGCACACUUACUAGACUCAGUAAUCUUUGCCAAGAAAAAGAUCUUGGCUGAAAGAAUUCUCAACUACAACAAUGACUGCAAUCAAAAGGAACUCAUUUACAUACAAAUGGAUCUUCCCGAAGAAGGCAAAAAGGAAAAUCCCACUUUCUGAUUUGGAGCAGCAACAAGCUACUAAUGUAGUCAAGGCAAGGCAGCCUCUGUCCUCUGGACGCCUCUAUUAAGAUGACUAAGGGCUUUAUCAAGCCCAUCUAAGUUUACGACUAUAUUAACUCUCUAGUGCUCUUUACUUGAGCUCCAAGGAGACACUGUUUUCCUCAUCCCUCUCAUCAUCUAACCUGAGCUCAAGUAUUCUCACCUGGGUGUGACUCAAAUUGACCUACCCUUUACUUUCCUGGGGACCCCCCUUCCUUAAUCUGCCUCAGUUUCUUCAAAGGAGACAAAGAUAAAACAUUUGGAGACACCACAAAUGAACCUCAUCCCAAAGUUUACAGCCACCUUUAGAGCUGAGAAGAGCACUUCUGAGAGGCACUUCCAAGGAAUACCACCCACUAACACACCCAGCGGAGAACAGUCUGUGCUUGGGGAAUGGAAUUUACCUGCCGUUAUACUCUUCAAACGUCGUUGGUCCAUAAGGAAAAGACACUCAAACCUAUAAGCCCCCCACGCUUUGCUCUAGAGCCUCACUGAUCAGAGCCACGCGUGUACUCCCUUGGAAGUUUGUCUGGGAUCAGCGGGUCUGUCCUUUCCUCCUGAGUCUCAGCAAGGGAUGGGUCAGGCAGGACUUAAUGGCCUGAAGGAGAGAAGCCACCCAUGUGGCCCAACAGUUCAUCCUAGGAAAUGACCGUCCAGCUGGUACACAACUAAAUAAACAUAGAUUCCAAAAUCCCCCAAAUUCUUCAAGGCACUUGGCUAAGAUAAACCAAUAUAUUAUCAACCUAGAACCACUUCAAGAAUUUAUUCCUA